rfam:Picea glauca, whole genome shotgun sequence.
ACAUGCUUGCAGUAUAGUGUUAAUGCAUUGGAUCCCAUUAGAACUCCAUAGGUAGUCAUGCUCAGGCUACACUAGUAUUGGGAUGGGUGACUGCCUGGGAAGUCCUAGUGUUUUGCAUGCC